UACGUAGGAGACGAGCGUUGUCCGGAGUUACUGGGCGUAAAGGGUGCGCAGGUGGCCGCGCGCGUGGGGGGUGAAAUCGCCUGGCUUAACUGGGCGGGGGCCUUCCAGACGGCGUGGCUUGAGCAGCGGAGGGGGGCGUGGAAUUCCGGGUGGAGCGGUGAAAUGCGUAGAGAUCGUAAGGAAGACCAGUGGCGAAGGCGAGUUUCUGGACAGUUACUGACGCUGAGGCACGAAGGCCAGGGGAGCAAACGGG
rnacentral:rRNA from 1 species